rnacentral:rRNA from 1 species
GGGUUGUGAGGUUAAGCGACUAAGCGUACACGGUGGAUGCCCUGGCAGUCAGAGGCGAUGAAGGACGUGCUAAUCUGCGAAAAGCGUCGGUAAGGUGAUAUGAACCGUUAUAACCGGCGAUGUCCGAAUGGGGAAACCCAGUGCAAUUCGUUGCACUAUCGUUAACUGAAUACAUAGGUUAACGAGGCGAACCGGGGGAACUGAAACAUCUAAGUACCCCGAGGAAAAGAAAUCAACCGAGAUUCCCCCAGUAGCGGCGAGCGAACGGGGAGCAGCCCAGAGUCUGAAUCAGCUUGUGUGUUAGUGGAACGGUCUGGAAAGUCCGACGGUACAGGGUGAUAGUCCCGUACACCAAAAUGCACAGGUUGUGAACUCGAAGAGUAGGGCGGGACACGUGGUAUCCUGUCUGAAUAUGGGGGGACCAUCCUCCAAGGCUAAAUACUCCUGACUGACCGAUAGUGAACCAGUACCGUGAGGGAAAGGCGAAAAGAACCCCGGCGAGGGGAGUGAAAAAGAACCUGAAACCGUGUACGUACAAGCAGUGGGAGCACCUUCGGGUGUGACUGCGUACCUUUUGUAUAAUGGGUCAGCGACUUAUAUUCUGUAGCAAGGUUAACCGUAUAGGGGAGCCGCAGGGAAACCGAGUCUUAACUGGGCGUUAAGUUGCAGGGUAUAGACCCGAAACCCGGUGAUCUAGCCAUGGGCAGGUUGAAGGUUGGGUAACACUAACUGGAGGACCGAACCGACUAAUGUUGAAAAAUUAGCGGAUGACUUGUGGCUGGGGGUGAAAGGCCAAUCAAACCGGGAGAUAGCUGGUUCUCCCCGAAAGCUAUUUAGGUAGCGCCUCGUGAACUCAUCUUCGGGGGUAGAGCACUGUUUCGGCUAGGGGGUCAUCCCGACUUACCAACCCGAUGCAAACUACGAAUACCGAAGAAUGUUAUCACGGGAGACACACGGCGGGUGCUAACGUCCGUCGUGAAGAGGGAAACAACCCAGACCGCCAGCUAAGGUCCCAAAGUCAUGGUUAAGUGGGAAACGAUGUGGGAAGGCACAGACAGCCAGGAUGUUGGCUUAGAAGCAGCCAUCAUUUAAAGAAAGCGUAAUAGCUCACUGGUCGAGUCGGCCUGCGCGGAAGAUGUAACGGGGCUAAACCAUGCACCGAAGCUGCGGCAGCGACACUAUGUGUUGUUGGGUAGGGGAGCGUUCUGUAAGCCUGCGAAGGUGACCUGUGAGGGUUGCUGGAGGUAUCAGAAGUGCGAAUGCUGACAUAAGUAACGAUAAAGCGGGUGAAAAGCCCGCUCGCCGGAAGACCAAGGGUUCCUGUCCAACGUUAAUCGGGGCAGGGUGAGUCGACCCCUAAGGCGAGGCCGAAAGGCGUAGUCGAUGGGAAACAGGUUAAUAUUCCUGUACUUGGUGUUACUGCGAAGGGGGGACGGAGAAGGCUAUGUUAGCCGGGCGACGGUUGUCCCGGUUUAAGCAUGUAGGCUGGUUAUCCAGGCAAAUCCGGAUAAUCAAGGCUGAGGUGUGAUGACGAGGCACUACGGUGCUGAAGUAACAAAUGCCCUGCUUCCAGGAAAAGCCUCUAAGCAUCAGGUAACAUCAAAUCGUACCCCAAACCGACACAGGUGGUCAGGUAGAGAAUACCAAGGCGCUUGAGAGAACUCGGGUGAAGGAACUAGGCAAAAUGGUGCCGUAACUUCGGGAGAAGGCACGCUGGUGUGUAGGUGAAGUCCCUGCGGAUGGAGCUGAGACCAGUCGAAGAUACCAGCUGGCUGCAACUGUUUAUUAAAAACACAGCACUGUGCAAACACGAAAGUGGACGUAUACGGUGUGACGCCUGCCCGGUGCCGGAAGGUUAAUUGAUGGGGUUAUCCGUAAGGAGAAGCUCUUGAUCGAAGCCCCGGUAAACGGCGGCCGUAACUAUAACGGUCCUAAGGUAGCGAAAUUCCUUGUCGGGUAAGUUCCGACCUGCACGAAUGGCGUAAUGAUGGCCAGGCUGUCUCCACCCGAGACUCAGUGAAAUUGAACUCGCUGUGAAGAUGCAGUGUACCCGCGGCAAGACGGAAAGACCCCGUGAACCUUUACUAUAGCUUGACACUGAACAUUGAGCCUUGAUGUGUAGGAUAGGUGGGAGGCUUUGAAGCGUGGACGCCAGUCUGCGUGGAGCCAACCUUGAAAUACCACCCUUUAAUGUUUGAUGUUCUAACGUUGGCCCCUGACCGGGGUUGCGGACAGUGUCUGGUGGGUAGUUUGACUGGGGCGGUCUCCUCCCAAAGCGUAACGGAGGAGCACGAAGGUUAGCUAAUCCUGGUCGGACAUCAGGAGGUUAGUGCAAUGGCAUAAGCUAGCUUGACUGCGAGCGUGACGGCGCGAGCAGGUGCGAAAGCAGGUCAUAGUGAUCCGGUGGUUCUGAAUGGAAGGGCCAUCGCUCAACGGAUAAAAGGUACUCCGGGGAUAACAGGCUGAUACCGCCCAAGAGUUCAUAUCGACGGCGGUGUUUGGCACCUCGAUGUCGGCUCAUCACAUCCUGGGGCUGAAGUAGGUCCCAAGGGUAUGGCUGUUCGCCAUUUAAAGUGGUACGCGAGCUGGGUUUAGAACGUCGUGAGACAGUUCGGUCCCUAUCUGCCGUGGGCGCUGGAGAAUUGAGGGGGGCUGCUCCUAGUACGAGAGGACCGGAGUGGACGCAUCACUGGUGUUCGGGUUGUCAUGCCAAUGGCACUGCCCGGUAGCUAAAUGCGGAAGAGAUAAGUGCUGAAAGCAUCUAAGCACGAAACUUGCCCCGAGAUGAGUUCUCCCUGAGACUUUAAGUCUCCUGAAGGAACGUUGAAGACGACGACGUUGAUAGGCCGGGUGUGUAAGCGCAGCGAUGCGUUGAGCUAACCGGUACUAAUGAACCGUGAGGCUUAACCUUACAACGCCGAAG